rnacentral:ncRNA from 2 species
UACGUAGGUGGCAAGCGUUGUCCGGAAUCACUGGGCGUAAAGCGCGCGCAGGCGGCGAUCUACGUCUGGGGUGAAAGCCCGGGGCUCAACCUCGGGACUGCCUUGGAUACGGGAUCGCUUGAGAAUCGGAGAGGUAAGGGGAAUUCCACGUGUAGCGGUGAAAUGCGUAGAUAUGUGGAGGAACACCAGUGGCGAAGGCGCCUUACUGGCCGAUUUCUGACGCUGAGGCGCGAAAGCGUGGGGAGCAAACAGG